CCCUGAAUACGCCCGAUCUCGGAAGCCAAGCAGGGUCAGCCCUGGUUAGUAUUUGGAUGGGAGACUGCCUGGGAAUAGCGUUGGAACGUCGGGU
rnacentral:rRNA from 1 species